rnacentral:lncRNA from 1 species
CUUUCUCUUUAGAGGCAAGCUCCGAGGACCGUGUAUCAAGCAUCUUCUGCUGGGAGUCUAGUUUCUCUUCCACCGAUUGAAGCUGCUUCCCACAUUCCGUAAUUUUAUCAAGAACCGCUCCACCGAUUGAAGCUGCUUCCCACAUUCCGUAAUUUUAUCAAGAACAGCUCUAAGAUCCUUCCGCUUCCUCUUUAUCUCCUCCUCUAAUUCUCUACUGCGAGUUUGAGUCGUUUCUAAAUGCUUCUUCUCAGCG